CCUACGGGUGGCAGCAGUGAGGAAUAUUGGUCAAUGGACGAGAGUCUGAACCAGCCAAGUCGCGUGAAGGAUGACUGCCCUAUGGGUUGUAAACUUCUUUUAUAUGGGAAUAAAACGUUCCACGUGUGGGAUUUUGUAUGUACCAUAUGAAUAAGGAUCGGCUAACUCCGUGCCAGCAGCCGCGGUAAUACGGAGGAUCCGAGCGUUAUCCGGAGUUAUUGGGUUUAAAGGGAGCGUAGGUGGAUUGUUAAGUCAGUUGUGAAAGUUUGCGGCUCAACCGUAAAAGUGCAGUUGAGACUGGCAGUCUUGAGUACAGGAGAGGUGGGCGGAAUUCGUGGUGUAGCGGUGAAAUGCUUAGAUAUCACGAAGAACUCCGAUUGCGAAGGCAGUUCACUGGACUGCAACUGACACUGAGGCUCGAAAGUGUGGGUAUCAAACAGGAUUAGAUACCCUUGUAGUC
rnacentral:rRNA from 1 species